AAAUCACACAACCCCAGCCAACAAAACCUUUCACUGUAAGCCUACACCACCGCCGCAAGGAGUGGCAUACUGCCGCGUCCGUCGCACUCAAAGUUCGCCAUCCGUCCGUCUAUCUAGCUUCCCUCGUGAUCCAAGUCUUCAACCCCUGUUCGCUGUCACCGAUCGCGGCUGCUUCCUCGAGCUCGGCGUCCGUCGUCUUUGUCUACUCAGCCGCGCUUCCGUCGCCGUUUGUCUGCCGUUCACGUUCGCGUCUUCGUUCGCGUUCUUCGCCAUUCACGUUCGCUCGGUGUUCACUGUUCGCGUUCACUCGCCGUUCACUGUUCGAGUUCGCAUUCGUGUUCGUCUGGAAGCCACGUUGCUCUGCUUCAAACACCGCGACCAACCCGCGCGCUCCUCCUAGCCGUCGAACUGCUCUCUUUUGUCGCCGUCAUUGAAUGUGCUAUUGCUAUAAAACUUUUGUCCAAAGAGUCCAACGAAUGCAGUCCUGAUAUUGCAAAGAAACUUGCAUAUUGCCUUUCAUAUCUUCCGAAAUCAAAAGAAGAUGAAGAAAGCUGGUCUGUGAUGCUGCAGAAGCUCUUGGUUUUGACAAAUGAUAAAUUAAAUUUUGGCUUUCAAGAGAAGAGAGUUAAUUGGGGAUUAGGGUUUUUAACCUCAAUUUGGGGAUCAAAUUGAGUCAAAACAGUUUAUGUCGCCAUGUCAGCUAGCCAUUGUGCGGACAGUGUGUCACCAACGAGUCCAAAUCAGCUUUCCGGUUGCGCCAGCUGGACGAAAUUGGUCGGAAGGAUGAGUCUGAGUCCCGGAGUGCAACUUCAGGGAUGAAUAUGAAUAAUUUUUAACUUCAGGGAUCACUAUGAGGUUCGAGGAUAACUUCAGGGACCACUUUGAGACUUACUUCUGCUUUUUUUGGAUGAAAACAAUUAUAUUGCUUUUUUUUUGGUUAGUAACAAUUAUAUUGCUUUCAAUUAUAAAAGUGAACCCCAGGAGUUGGGUUUGAGCAUUCGAUAAUUUGGAUCAAUUUUUUUGGUGCAAUUGAAGAUGAUGGAGAAGCAAUCACCAAAAUAAAACUCUUGUGGUAUGGCUGGGUCUUUAAUGGGAGUGAUUUGCAAAGAAGAAGAGGUGAAUUCCAUGAAAAGGUAACAAAAGUAAUUCGUUCGGUUUAUUCUAUUGUUAUGUAGUUUUUACAGAGUGCUGAUAUUUUUUAAUAGUUUAAGAAAAAACAAUCUUUUAUUAGUGAAUCAAAUUUUUUAUCUCAAUUAUAACUGAUUUCAAAUUUAGUUCUGAUUUGAUACAUAGAUUUUGUAUAUUUUUCAUAUAUCUUAAAUUGUUAAAAAGAUUUGAUCGAUCAUUUAUAUUGAUAAUAUAUUACGAGAACAAUGUGUUAUUACUGUUUUUUUUGUUAGUAAAUAUUAUUGAUUUUUGCAUUGAUAUUACACUUGUUACAUCUUCUUUGGUUGGACGUGCAUAAUCAUUUAAAAAGUGACCAUAGCUUUGAUGCAUUAGCUCAGAUUAGGGGUGCACAGACCCGGCCCGGCCCGAAGGCCCGGCCCGGUCCUGAACACUUUAGGAACUAAUUUGGAGUGAUUUCAUCGGGUUUAGGGUCGGGUACGGGUCUCAAAAAUAGACCCGGUCAUUAUUUCGGGUCGGGUCUGGGCUAUAGCUCGGGUCACCCGAAGUCGGCCCGGUGGCCCGGUCAUCAUAUACAAUUAAUAUUUUGUGUUAUUAGUCAUGGAUCAUGACUAUUCUUACGUGGAAUUUAAGUAUUGUAAACCUUAAUAUUUUAUGUUAUUAGUCAUUAUAAGACUAUAAGUUAAUGUUUUAUGUUUAGAAUGCAUAAGAUUUUAGACUAAUACAUAAGAUUGUGUUAUUUGUAUUGAUUUAAAUAUUUGGUAUUAUUAGACAAUAUUAGUAUUUAUUGUGGUUAUGCUUUAAUUUUGAAGAAUGGUUGGUUCUUGUUAUAUUUUUCUAAGUGAAUUUUACCAUGUUAACUAAUGGUUGGAGCCUUGGAAAUUUGGAUAUUUUUACAUGCUAGUUUACAAGAAGGUAUCAACGUAAUGUAAUGUUAACGGCCCGGUUUUCACCCGGUUUUCACCCGGUAUAAUUGUGGCCUGAAAGUGUAUUGGUUUCAUCGGGUCUAGGGUCGGGUUCGAGUCUAAUAAAUAGACCCGGUGUAUAUUUCGGGCCGGGUCUGGGUCACAUCAAACCCGGCUUCACCCGGCCCAUGUGCACCCCUAGCUCAGAUAUUAAAGAUGUACUAAAAUAAAUUGAUUAGUAACUUUCGAGUGGAAAAAAAAAAAGGCAAAGUAAAUAAACUGUUUUUCAAAUUACAAUAAUCAAAAUUUUUUUUGGUAUAUGACCAAUAAUUAAUUAAUUAAUAAAGAUUAAAAGCACAAAAGUACGGCCGAUUAAGUUAUCAAGAUAUCUAGUAGCCCAGCCCAAAGUUGAUCGGCCUAUUCAUGCCGGAUGAUUAGUAAUCGAGUAUAUUAAAAAAAAACGAAAAGAGCUAAUAAGUUUUUGAUUUUUUAGGGCAAACAUUUAAAUUCUUGAGAAUUUAAAAAUACAUUUAAAUUUUUAAUUUUUUUUAAAAUCUGGAUAUAUUUAUUUCUCAUGUUCACUUGAGUUUGUCAGACCCAACAGAAAAAUUAAGCGUGAUUCUCAUUGUACUGACCUGGUUGAUACGGAUGCAUAUAUGAGAUAUUUUUUAAAAUGGAAAUAAUUAGACACACUGAUUAAUAUGUCCAAAUUUUGAAGAGAUCAAUAACUUAAAUGUAUUUUUAAAUUUUUAGAUACUUAAAUGUCUGCGGAGCAAAAAGUCAGAGAUCGAUUUGUCCUUACUAAUUGACAAACAUUAUUUUUUUAGGAUAA